rnacentral:tRNA from 1 species
CAGGGCGUUUCAUUUCGUUUCAAAACCCCCUGUUUUGGGAGCAGGGGGUCGGAGGUUCAAAUCCUCUCGCCCCGACCA